rnacentral:rRNA from 9 species
UUAAGCGACUAAGCGUACACGGUGGAUGCCCUGGCAGUCAGAGGCGAUGAAGGACGUGCUAAUCUGCGAUAAGCGUCGGUGAGGUGAUAUGAACCGUUAUAACCGGCGAUUUCCGAAUGGGGAAACCCAGUGUGUUUCGACACACUAUCAUUAACUGAAUCCAUAGGUUAAUGAGGCGAACCGGGGGAACUGAAACAUCUAAGUACCCCGAGGAAAAGAAAUCAACCGAGAUUCCCCCAGUAGCGGCGAGCGAACGGGGAGGAGCCCAGAGCCUGAAUCAGUGUGUGUGUUAGUGGAAGCGUCUGGAAAGGCGCGCGAUACAGGGUGACAGCCCCGUACACAAAAAUGCACAUAUUGUGAGCUCGAUGAGUAGGGCGGGACACGUGGUAUCCUGUCUGAAUAUGGGGGGACCAUCCUCCAAGGCUAAAUACUCCUGACUGACCGAUAGUGAACCAGUACCGUGAGGGAAAGGCGAAAAGAACCCCGGCGAGGGGAGUGAAAAAGAACCUGAAACCGUGUACGUACAAGCAGUGGGAGCCUCUUAAUGGGGUGACUGCGUACCUUUUGUAUAAUGGGUCAGCGACUUAUAUUCUGUAGCAAGGUUAACCGAAUAGGGGAGCCGAAGGGAAACCGAGUCUUAACUGGGCGUUAAGUUGCAGGGUAUAGACCCGAAACCCGGUGAUCUAGCCAUGGGCAGGUUGAAGGUUGGGUAACACUAACUGGAGGACCGAACCGACUAAUGUUGAAAAAUUAGCGGAUGACUUGUGGCUGGGGGUGAAAGGCCAAUCAAACCGGGAGAUAGCUGGUUCUCCCCGAAAGCUAUUUAGGUAGCGCCUCGUGAAUUCAUCUCCGGGGGUAGAGCACUGUUUCGGCAAGGGGGUCAUCCCGACUUACCAACCCGAUGCAAACUGCGAAUACCGGAGAAUGUUAUCACGGGAGACACACGGCGGGUGCUAACGUCCGUCGUGAAGAGGGAAACAACCCAGACCGCCAGCUAAGGUCCCAAAGUCAUGGUUAAGUGGGAAACGAUGUGGGAAGGCCCAGACAGCCAGGAUGUUGGCUUAGAAGCAGCCAUCAUUUAAAGAAAGCGUAAUAGCUCACUGGUCGAGUCGGCCUGCGCGGAAGAUGUAACGGGGCUAAACCAUGCACCGAAGCUGCGGCAGCGACACUAUGUGUUGUUGGGUAGGGGAGCGUUCUGUAAGCCUGUGAAGGUGGCCUGUGAGGGUUGCUGGAGGUAUCAGAAGUGCGAAUGCUGACAUAAGUAACGAUAAAGCGGGUGAAAAGCCCGCUCGCCGGAAGACCAAGGGUUCCUGUCCAACGUUAAUCGGGGCAGGGUGAGUCGACCCCUAAGGCGAGGCCGAAAGGCGUAGUCGAUGGGAAACAGGUUAAUAUUCCUGUACUUGGUGUUACUGCGAAGGGGGGACGGAGAAGGCUAUGUUGGCCGGGCGACGGUUGUCCCGGUUUAAGCGUGUAGGCUGGUUUUCCAGGCAAAUCCGGAAAACCAAGGCUGAGGCGUGAUGACGAGGCACUACGGUGCUGAAGCGACAAAUGCCCUGCUUCCAGGAAAAGCCUCUAAGCAUCAGGUAACAUCAAAUCGUACCCCAAACCGACACAGGUGGUCAGGUAGAGAAUACCAAGGCGCUUGAGAGAACUCGGGUGAAGGAACUAGGCAAAAUGGUGCCGUAACUUCGGGAGAAGGCACGCUGAUAUGUAGGUGAAGCGACUUGCUCGUGGAGCUGAAAUCAGUCGAAGAUACCAGCUGGCUGCAACUGUUUAUUAAAAACACAGCACUGUGCAAACACGAAAGUGGACGUAUACGGUGUGACGCCUGCCCGGUGCCGGAAGGUUAAUUGAUGGGGUUAGCGGUAACGCGAAGCUCUUGAUCGAAGCCCCGGUAAACGGCGGCCGUAACUAUAACGGUCCUAAGGUAGCGAAAUUCCUUGUCGGGUAAGUUCCGACCUGCACGAAUGGCGUAAUGAUGGCCAGGCUGUCUCCACCCGAGACUCAGUGAAAUUGAACUCGCUGUGAAGAUGCAGUGUACCCGCGGCAAGACGGAAAGACCCCGUGAACCUUUACUAUAGCUUGACACUGAACAUUGAGCCUUGAUGUGUAGGAUAGGUGGGAGGCUUUGAAGUGUGGACGCCAGUCUGCAUGGAGCCGACCUUGAAAUACCACCCUUUAAUGUUUGAUGUUCUAACGUUGGCCCGUAAUCCGGGUUGCGGACAGUGUCUGGUGGGUAGUUUGACUGGGGCGGUCUCCUCCUAAAGAGUAACGGAGGAGCACGAAGGUUGGCUAAUCCUGGUCGGACAUCAGGAGGUUAGUGCAAUGGCAUAAGCCAGCUUGACUGCGAGCGUGACGGCGCGAGCAGGUGCGAAAGCAGGUCAUAGUGAUCCGGUGGUUCUGAAUGGAAGGGCCAUCGCUCAACGGAUAAAAGGUACUCCGGGGAUAACAGGCUGAUACCGCCCAAGAGUUCAUAUCGACGGCGGUGUUUGGCACCUCGAUGUCGGCUCAUCACAUCCUGGGGCUGAAGUAGGUCCCAAGGGUAUGGCUGUUCGCCAUUUAAAGUGGUACGCGAGCUGGGUUUAGAACGUCGUGAGACAGUUCGGUCCCUAUCUGCCGUGGGCGCUGGAGAACUGAGGGGGGCUGCUCCUAGUACGAGAGGACCGGAGUGGACGCAUCACUGGUGUUCGGGUUGUCAUGCCAAUGGCACUGCCCGGUAGCUAAAUGCGGAAGAGAUAAGUGCUGAAAGCAUCUAAGCACGAAACUUGCCCCGAGAUGAGUUCUCCCUGAGACUUAGAGUCUCCUGAAGGAACGUUGAAGACGACGACGUUGAUAGGCCGGGUGUGUAAGCGCAGCGAUGCGUUGAGCUAACCGGUACUAAUGAACCGUGAGGCUUAACCUU